rnacentral:rRNA from 1 species
GAUCCUGCUCAGGAUGAACGCUAGCUACAGGCUUAACACAUGCAAGUCGAGGGGAAACGACAUCGAAAGCUUGUUUCCGAUGGGCGUCGACCGGCGCACGGGUGAGUAACGCGUAUCCAACCUGCCCACCACUUGGGGAUAACCUUGCGAAAGUAAGACUAAUACCCAAUGAUAUCUCUAGAAGACAUCUGAAAGAGAUUAAAGAUUUAUCGGUGAUGGAUGGGGAUGCGUCUGAUUAG